GAACGGGCGACCAGCCGGCUCGAGGUAUUUAAAACAAACAACAACCGAACCGACGACCGCCGAGAGACGCGCGAGCAAACACCGCGCGCGCGUCUCCUAAAGUAAGAGCACAUCGCGCCCCCGAAGACCCCCAAACCACGACCACCCCUCCGCUUACCUGCGGGAACCGAGAGGCGGAGGACCGACGUUUAAAAUACUUGAAUCCACCGCUUCGGUUUCUCCGACUGCCGCGACGGAGACCCGGCGUCAAGCCGCUUGUCGUGGAGACGCAAGCGCCACUUCCGGUGGCUGCCUUUCAAAAUAAGUUCGCCACGAUCUUGUGGCUGAGACAUGAAAACGCGAUACUUUUGUGUCACAACGGAAUAUAUACGAUUGAUAUAUUUAUUUAUGUGAGUGUAUAUUUGACUCACAUUCAUUGUCUUGUAAGGUUUCAUAUGGAAUUUGACAGCUGUUACGUUGCUCUCACCGUACCCACAAAUAAAUGGACAAAACAAUGAAGGAUACAUACAUAUAUACAUACAUUGAUCCCUAGAUAAUGUUUUUUGUUGCUGCUAUUUACAUUCUUUAUGGUGCAAAUUAAAAAAUGCACUACAUGAAUGCUAUUUACAUUCUUUAUGGUGCAAAUUUAAAAAUGCACUACAGGGAUGUGCUUCUGUUUUAUUUGUUUUGUUUGUCAUGCGUUUGUUGUGUUGCAGAUGGGAUGAAAAUGAAUUGCGUUGGGCUGCCUUGCGCGUUGCAUAAUGACAUUUUUCCUUGAGUCCUUCAAUCCUAAUCCAUAUGUAAUAAGCAAAGUUUUGCAGUUCUUUCAUGUUGCAGCCACAGGGUUGAAGCUCACAGGAUGAACUCAUCUGGGAUGUAGUCAAAUUUGCAAUCAUGCAAAGCACAGUAUAUCAACAGAUCCCAUCCAUUGCAUCAGUGGCCACAUUUUGUCUUCAGAACAAUGUCAUUAGACGUUACUAAUUCUUCUUUUAUUUUGAAAACAUCACGUGUUCGCACUCUUUCUCCGUAUCUUGACGCACGUGGGAGAAAAGCGAGGCUGCGUCGUGGCGCGUUCAGAAUCCCGACCUCACUGCCCCAUCUGCUGGACCUGCCAGCGCAGCGCACAUGCUGCCUUCACGGCCUCCACCAGUGGUGCGUUCAAGUGCAGACGACGACGAACGAGACCAAUAACCCCGUUUACAAAAAUAUCACAGUUACAUGGAGAGAAUAGAAAUAUUAAAAUGUAUAAUGUGUGUACGAAUAACAAGUAAGUUGAGACGGACAAGUUUGUUAUUAAAGUGAGUAUUACAUAUAUGUAUACGUCACAUGUUUCAGUAAACUUGCUUGGUUAUUUUAGUUUUUUGCUAAUAAAAAUAUAUAUAUAACAAUAAAAAAUAAACUAUUAUUAUUUUUAUUUUUUUUAAAGAGUCUUACUCUAGCUCGGUGGGGGAAAAGGCACCAUAGUUUGUUUAAAAGAAAGAAAGUUCAUGGUUGGUUAAGAAAAACCUCCUUCAAAAAUGAUAUCCCACAUUCAGACUUUUUAAAUACUAUGAGGAGCUUAAAAUGUUUCAGUAUUAUUUGGAAUUAUUAAGAUAGACCAACAGAACAACGCAGGUCCACAGGAAGCUGAUACUUGUACGUCGGUCAUAUCUUGACUGCUUGUGUUAUAAUUUGUCUUUUGUUCUUUUUAAUGAUUUCUGAUCACCAGCAGAAGGAAUUUGGUGUGACUGUAAAACAAAAUGGAAGAAAACCAAAAACACUCUUUUGGUGGUUUUGAUAUCUUUGCCAGAGCCCCAGUUUUCAGUAUGCUAAGCUAACCGUCUGCUAACCCUACCGACAUAUAAUGGAGAGGGAGGCUGUGAUUGUUCAUCAAACUCUCUGCCGGAGUGUGUUAGGAUAUUAGAAAUAUCAAUAUUGAACUCUAAUACAAUUUGGCUUCGUAGAAUAAAUUCCAGCAACGGUUUAUUGUUCGUUAAACAUACGAGGAAUUUGGCCUGGUGACAGUAAACGUCGUGCCGCGCUAAAAGAUGCAAGUUAAAAAUAGAAAAUAUGGAAAUCUACAGUAAAACAUCAUAUCGAUAUGAUAGUGCUUUUUAAUGCAUGUGACAAGUCACCGGACUUCUGGCUCGCGGGGUGAUUCUCUCUUCGAAGGCAUCGCGUGGCCCCACGUUGGCCCCCAUGUGGCGUCGGCGGAGCAAGACGUGGCCUCAGUCGGUGAUUAUCGGUGAUCGAAUCAGGCGUCUCACGGGAAGCCCUCGAGCCUUGAGGGGAUCAUUGUCCAUCGCCCCUCCCUCUCCUGCCUGCAGUAAUUUCUGAAGGUACGGCGGUCAUAUGAGCCCAGCUGCCGAACGUGCAACCACUUAACUCGUCUCUUUUUCCUUUAAUUACCCUCCACUCCGCACCAAUGGAAGUCAUGGGAUCCCAACCCAUGUCAUGUCUCUGGUCGAUUGGGAAUGGCAUGCAUGUGUGUGCGUGUGUGUGUGUGUGUUUGUGUGCAUGUUGAAGACUAUAGCUGAUAAUGUAAAUGAUUAUAAGAUAAUGUAAUAUGUAAUAUUGCUUCUUGCUAAACUAAAUUGUAAGUUGCCAUUCAGUGCUAAAUAUGUGAUGAUGUAAUUUUGAGAGAAUCCAAAUAAUGCUCGGCAGCCUUGUGUGUGUGUGUGUGUGUGUGUGUUGACAUCAUGAGAUUUGCAUCAAUACUAUCAGCCUGCGGACUCUGCAUGCCUCGGCUCUUUUUCCCCUCAGUCACGAGUUUCGUCGCUGCACAUGAACGGGCGUGAUUGUCCAACCUAACAUUUCCUACCUGAAAACUGUAGAGUGCGUGAAGGUAAAGUUUUUAAACCCGAGGAGAGAACGAAGUCAGUGCAAAGUGAGGGUGGGCACACGUAAGCAAAGGGCCGGUAUCUCUGUAAUCAGCGAGGGCCCCGCUCACGUGUCGCCGCCAUCAACCCUUCAGCCAGGACACCGGUCAAAGUUCAACUCAUUCUUCCACUAGUGCACAUAAAAGGUUGUUCCUCCUCGCAAGCAAACCAGCGAUUUCGUGACUGCAGAACGACAUAUAAUCCCUUUCAAAUAACAAGCCUGCAUUAACACUACAUAACACAUGGUAAGAGCUCGGAAUGAAGGAGACGAUUGUUUUAUUGACAAAAUAAAGAGGCCGGUGGCCCAGACGGUGAUUUUAAAAGAGUGUAAAGAGUCUGGUUUAACAUCCCUUACCUUAAGUGUGGCACAUUUUGCCAUACGUGCGAUUACAAAUCGAUCAAAACAAUAAUAACCGGUGUUUGUUGGAAUCAGGCCCCAGCGGUCUCCUCAUAGCGCCACAUGUGGAACUUGCCGGGGAUUACUUCCUCACCGAGGGAUUCCCUGGAUCAAUUCCCUUUAUAAGGGAGCACCCUAAUAUGGUCGGCUUGAGGGAAACCUCCACACUGGACUCAAAGGGACGGCACCUUGUCAGCUGUGUUCACCGGCUCACAUGAACAGCUGCAGCAGACUCGCUUUGUUAUUCUUAUUUUGAAGCCCGCUGAAUUUGCGUUAUUUCGUUCCAAGAAGGUACAAAUGUGAGUAAACGUGUUAAUAAUGCAAAUCGUACAGUCACACAAGAAAAGCGGUUAUCUCUGUCUAACAGUAAUAGGUCAAGCGUGCUAACAUUAGCCACGAGCAAUGUUGUUAAGCAGUCACAUAAAAAACAAACAAAAGAACAGAAAAGUACAGCAUGUCAACUCGGUGCAGAACAAAUUCUCACCGCCGUUCUGUUUGUGCUCAGAGGCCACCUGAAAAGACCCAGAAGGAAUGUUUGCUUUCAAAGUUCAAAAUAACAAUUUUUUAUUUGACUUUUUUUUUCCCAGACGGGCCGGCGUGGAAGACACCGAGGUGUCGGCCAGAACAGACACCGAGCAAAACAAACCGUCAACUUUUGCAAAGAGACGGCCACCGCUCACGGGUCCUGUGUUGCCAUUUCUCUCACAAAUAUAGCAAUUGGUAACAGUUAGUGAAAUAGAUUUUGGUGGGAGCCAUUUUGCAAUGUGAAACAUGAUGGACGCGUCCGAACCUUCCUUCCUGUUUGGAAAUGCUCAACGUGGUGCACUUCUCUGAGAUUUUCCGACAAAGAACCCGGCUGUGGUCGCAGGCCCGGUUAUGUAACUGUGGUAAUAAGCACCCGCACAGACGGAAUCACGGCUUAACCACCUAACUGCGUUGGUUAGAGCAUUAGAGCAGCGGUUGGGGGUUUAGGAAUUAAGCAGAGGAUAUUGACCGGACUGGCUCAUCAGUGGUUUGCAUGCAAUCAAUAGAGAUAUUCCACGGUAGUUAUAAAGUUGUUGUUCUGGGUUUUACCACUUACUUAGUUUGGCUUUUUAUAACAUUUCAAUGAAGAUUCAUGUGCAUGUUAAUCUAUGAUAAAGUAGAUGUGAUAGUACUUUAUAUUAGCAAGGAAGCCGAUUUUCCUGUGGUCGUGUAGACUGUAGCUAUAACGUGAUUACAUAUACUGUGGCACAUGAUCCGGCCAGGCCAAACUGCAUUUCUUAUUAUGGAAUUAAGUGGCGUAUGGAUUUUAUUCUGCUGCCCAAAUUGGAAAACCUAAUUUUCGGUGCGUCUCUCGUCUAAAUUCAACUCUCUUCAACCACACACACACACACACACACGCAUAUAAUUCCCCAUACACAAAGAAGCUCUGUACAAGAUAUUUUGGCCAAAUACACCAAACAUAUUGAGGUGAAAUUAGUCUGUGGUUUUCAAAAAAAGAUGUUUCCCGGUGUCUAAAUUCAUCAUGUCAAACAUUUCAAACACAAGUGUGGGCGUUAUUUCAAUCUUCCCUUUCUUUUAGAAAUGUUGUCCAGUAGUGUUGCACAACAAGGGAGAGGCCAGUGCAAAAAGACAUUCGUGCCACAUAGAUCAAACUCUGGGAAUAUUUACAGUAGUUCUGCAAAUGGGCCACGUGACAUGCGCAAACUGGUUUUGACCCAAUUGAAAAUCGGCCUAAUAGGAAUGCUGAUUGGUGAGUUAUACUCAGCCUCUAUUUCGCUCUAUAUUUAUAUCGCGACCUGAAGUCCCACCUGUUGCUCCGCUGUAGCGUCUAAUUCAAUCUUACAAUCACUCCAAUUUACUCCCGCCGAGAUCCCCAGUGAUUAUCCAGCCCCUCCAAAAUAAAAGCCGCAUCACGUGAAAGAGUAGUGACGGGGCGGGGCCCCGCGGGGCCUCAGCCAAUCACCGCCACUGUUUGGCGGCUUCCCAUUCGACGAUAAACAUUACGACUCGGCGGCAGGAGCUCCCAGAGUGAGGCAAGCGCGUCAACGUGACCGACGUUCGGGGGGGACAGAGCGGCGCAACACGGAUUGAGAGCCGAGGGGUUGGAUUUUAUAACCACCGACACUGGACGCGGCGCUCCGCCGACAAGCAUCGCCCCGUUUCGGGACAAAGGGGCAAACGUGACGCCCUGACAAUUGUCUUCUAGCACCGGAAACCCGUUAGCUUUCUCUGCUAACGCACGUUAGCUAACCUAGCUGUUACAUACCCCCGCAACUGACCUCCACCACAACACAGGCUCACCGUGUAUCAUCUGUUUUGCUAGUUUUCUUUUUUUUGUGGUGUGUGUGUGUGUGUAGGACCGGGGGGGGGUCACUAUUCUCCCGUGUCUUCACGUCCGCUGUCCCACACCCCCACGCGUGUGGCGCCCCCGUGGACGUCCCCGAAAUAUGAGACACAUUGAGUUCAAGAG
ensembl:lncRNA